UUUUGUUUGUAGUCCACAGUUGCUUAGCUUCCACUUAUAGUCUUCUUCUACUUCUAAUUUUCAAACCUCUGUUUGAGUCCUGCCUAGGGUUUUGUAUAUUUGACUCUUUUAUGAAUUUGUACUGCUCGAUGGCUUUGCUUUGCUUUGCCUCAGGCUAUAGAAUCCCACCAUCUGUACCAUUAAAGAACGUGCAAUGGACGAAAGUCUUCUGUGGGUCUCUCUCCUUCCAAUUAAAAAUUUGAAAGCGGUAGAUGAUUUUAAUACAUUAGAAUUGCCCCGCCAAAAUAAUGAUGAAAGAAAAGUUAGGGUUGAUCAAAUUGCUUAGGCUAUGCCUUUAGUCGUUCUCUCAUAAAGAUGGUGAGAAAAAAAGUAGGGUAGUGGGUCCACUAAUGGAAAGGUGAACUUGACAACAACAGUAAAUCUUGACCUUGGUUGCCCAUUUUUGCUUUACAAUAAUUCAGUUUAGACAAUCACAAACCCCCAAUUUGGACUUGCUAGUGGGGGAAAAAAGUUGUAAACUCAUGUUGUGUAAAUUAAAUUGCUUAAUAUAUGGGUUUGGAAUCUGAACCAAGAAUGAGUAUUUUUCUUUUGAACUUUACUCUGAGAAAAUGGCUUUCUUUGUAGGAUAUUUGUCAUUUGUCUGAACGGUCUCUCUGUUCUAGACAUAUUCAUGUUGAAUUCUUUAUAUAAUUUUUCAACUUUUUUAGUAGUUUUCACAUUAUUAUUAUAAUUGCUAAAUCAUGCUCAGUGUUUGUUGGUAAAUGGCUUGAUCAUGUGGGCCAGGUGGGAAAGCAACAUUUUUGUAAUGUUGUUGAAACUAAAAAGAAAGAUGUUCUUCACGAGUCUGAUCUUUUUUUUGUUAUUCUUAUAAUCACUUUAAAAAAUCACGAGGAUGAAUGGAGGAAGAUAGAAAUAGUGGAGAGGGAACAUGUUUGUUGCAUAACAGAAGUAGUGAAAUGGUGGCCAAAAGAAGUAGUGUCAAGAAAUUGGUCACCAUCAGCUGGUUUGCAGAGCAUUUGAUGUCUUUUUUCCAUUUGUACUCAUUUGUGUUUUUAAUUUUCGUUGUUAAUUGCUUUGCUAAAGAUACCUUAGAGUUUAAGAGUUGCAUAAGUCAUGGGAGUGGGGAUACUCUUGUAUCGGCAGGGUCGAGAUUCGAACUUGGAUUCUUUCAGCCAUAUGGCAGCUCUCAUAGCAGAAGAUACUUGGGAAUAUGGUAUUACAAAUCAAAUCCAAUUACGGUUGUUUGGGUUGCCAAUCGAGACAGACCACUUCCUAGUUCAGAUGGUGUCUUGAAGAUCGAGGAUGAUGGCAACCUCAAAGUAUAUGAUGGAAAUCAGAAUCUUUAUUGGUCAACAAACAUUGGAAGUUCUGUACCUGAUCAAAGGACCCUGAAACUAAUGGAUAAUGGAAAUCUGGUUUUGAGCUAUGUAGAUCAAGAAGACUUGUCUGAGCACAUCCUCUGGCAAAGUUUCGAUUAUCCAACUGAUACAUUUCUUCCUGGCAUGUUAAUGGACGAUAACUUGGUGCUGGCUUCAUGGAAGAGCUAUGAUGACCCGGCCCAAGGGAACUUCACUUUUCAGUUAGAUCAGGACGGAGGUCAAUAUGUCAUUUGGAAAAGAUCAGUUAAAUUCUGGAAAAGUGGAGUUUCAGGUAAGUUUAUUACCACUGAUAAGAUGCCUGCUGCAUUGUUAUACCUUUUGUCAAAUUUCUCAUCGAAAACUGUCCCAAACUUCUCUGUGCCACAUCUCACAUCAUCAUUGUAUAUUGAUACAAGGCUAGUAUUGAACAGCUCAGGUCAGCUUCAUUACCUAAACUGGGAAGAUCACAAAGUCUGGUCUCAGAUUUGGGUGGAGCCGAGAGAUAGAUGCAGUGUGUAUAAUGCGUGUGGAGAUUUUGCUAGCUGUAAUAGUGAGUGUGGUAUGGCUUGCAAAUGCCUGCCUGGUUUUGAGCCUACCUCUCCAGGGAGUUGGAAUAUUGGAGAUUAUUCAGGUGGAUGCAUUAGGAAAUCACCAAUAUGCAGUGUGGAUGCUGACAGUGACACUUUUUUGAGUCUAAAGAUGAUGAAAGCUGGAAACCCGGACUUCCAGUUUAAUGCAAAGGAUGACUUCGAUUGCAAAUUGGAGUGCCUUAACAACUGCCAGUGUCAGGCUUACUCGUAUUUGGAAGCUAAUAUCACAAGGCAGAGUGGGAAUUAUAAUUCUGCUUGUUGGAUCUGGUCUGGAGAUCUCAACAAUCUUCAGGAUGAGUUUGAUGAUGGUCGUGACCUCAAUGUUCGAGUAGCAGUUAGAGACCUAGAAUCAACUGCCAGAAACUGUGGAACAUGUGGAACAAACCUCAUUCCUUAUCCACUUAGCACAGGACCUAAAUGCGGUGACCCCAUGUACUUCAAUUUUAACUGCAACUUGGCUUCUGGCCAGGUAAACUUUGAAGCAGCAGGUGGAACAUACAAGGUUAAAUUCAUUGAUUCAGAAGCACGAAAAUUUUACAUCCAAACCAAGGAACCGGGUGAUUGUGGUGAUAAAAACUGGAUAACCAAAGCCCUUCAGCUGAACCAGUCAUCUCCUUUCCGUGUAACCAGCUGGUGCAACUUUAAGGAGACCAAUCUCGAGGAGAAUUUUUCUCUGAAAACUAGCAAUGAAGUUGAAAUCAGUUGGGAGCCUCCACUAGAGCCAAUUUGUUCUUCAACUACGGACUGCAAAGACUGGCCUUAUUCAACUUGCAACAUGAGUAAAGAUGGAAAUAAAAGAUGCCUUUGCAUAACAGAUUUUCAUUGGAAUGGCUGGAUCUUGAAUUGCACUACAGAUCACAACAAAGGAAAGGAUGGAAAAGGCAAAACGACCUUUUCUGUGAUUAUUGUUGCAACAUCCUUAUGUAUGGUCCUUCUGAUGAUUCUCUCAUGUACCGUAUUUUACAUUUACUUCUCCAAAAGUGGGCUCAUUGAAAGACAAGAAAGCAGGGGAAACAGCCAAAAAGAUUUAAUGCUUCACUUGUACGAUAAUGAGAGACGUGUCAAAGACCUGAUUGAAUCCGGUCGAUUCAAGGAAGAUGAUACAAAUGGAAUAGACAUUCCAUUUUUUGAUUUGGAAACCAUUCUAGUUGCAACAGAUAACUUCUCAAAUGCAAACAAGCUUGGCCAGGGAGGCUUUGGGCCAGUUUACAAGGGCAAGUUUCCUAGUGGGCAGGAGAUUGCUGUAAAGAGGCUUUCAAGUGGUUCAGGGCAAGGCUUUGAGGAGUUUAAGAAUGAGGUUUUAUUAAUUGCUAAACUUCAGCAUCGAAAUCUCGUUAGACUCUUGGGCUACUGUGUUGAAGGAGAUGAAAAGAUGUUGCUUUAUGAAUAUAUGCCAAAUAAAAGCUUAGACGCCUUUAUAUUUGAUCAAAAGAUGAGUGUGGCAUUGGAUUGGGACAUGCGCUUCAACGUCAUUUUGGGAAUUGCUCGUGGCCUUCUUUAUUUACACCAAGAUUCGAGGUUGAGAAUUAUCCAUAGAGAUUUGAAGACGAGCAAUAUUCUUCUAGAUGAGGAGAUGAAUCCCAAAAUAUCCGACUUUGGCUUGGCGAGGAUAUUUGGAGGGAAAGAAACUGCCACAAAUACUAAAAGGGUGUGGAUACAUGUCACCAGAAUAUGCAUUGGAUGGGAUAUUUUCUGUCAAAUCUGAUGUCUUUAGCUUCGGUGUAGUCGUAAUCGAGAUCAUUAGUGGAAAAAGGAACACUGGAUUCUUUCACUCGGAGAAAGCUUUGAGUCUCCUGGGCUAUGCUUGGGAUUUAUGGAUGAAAGACGAAGGCUUGGAUUUAAUGGAGCAAACACUGAGCGGGAAUUGCAAACGAGAUGAAUAUUUGAAGUGUUUAAAUGUGGGGCUGUUGUGCGUGCAGGAAGAUCCAUGGGAUCGACCCACCAUGUUGAAUGUGGUAUUCAUGCUCGGAAGCGAAACCGCAACUCUUCCAUCUCCGAAACCACCAGCUUUCGUCGUACGGCGGUGCCCCUCAAGCAGAGCUUCCUCCUCCACCAAACCAGAAACCUUCUCCCAUAAUGAGUUGACAGUCACCCUACAAGAUGGUAGAUAGCAGAAAGAAGCGUCUUCCCAUGUGAACUAUUGAUGUAUAACUUCACAUUUAUUCAUAUUAUACUUCUGCUGAUUGGUUCUAUUUGAUAUUUAGAAUGGACUUUCGAGUUUAACUUGUUGAGAUGAUUGUUGAAGAGAAUAACAAACAAAUGUUAUAUAAAUUUUAUGCAAACUUUCGUUUAAAAAGAAAAAAAGAGA